GAUGAACGCUAGCGACAGGCCUAACACAUGCAAGUCGAGGGGCAGCAUGAAAUUAGCUUGCUAAUUUUGAUGGCGACCGGCGCACGGGUGAGUAACACGUAUGCAACCUGCCUGUAAGCGGGGGAUAACCCGGAGAAAUUCGGACUAAUACCGCAUAAUAUCAUCGAAUCGCCUGUUUUGAUGAUUAAAAAUUUAUUGCUUACAGAUGGGCAUGCGUAUGAUUAGCUAGUUGGCGGGGUAACGGCCCACCAAGGCGACGAUCAUUAGGGGUUCUGAGAGGAAGGUCCCCCACGUGGGAACUGGGACACGGUCCAAACUCCUACGGGAGGCAGCAGUGAGGAAUAUUGGUCAAUGGGCGCAAGUCUGAACCAGCCAUGUCGCGUGAAGGAUGACUGUCCUAUGGAUUGUAAACUUCUUUUAUAUGGGGAUAAAGUGUGAGACUUGUCUCAUUUUGCAUGUACCAUAUGAAUAAGCAUCGGCUAACUCCGUGCCAGCCGCCGCCGUAAUAC
rnacentral:rRNA from 1 species